rnacentral:ncRNA from 2 species
GCCGUCUCAACGGGGUGCGGAGAGUCGGGCCGCGUGAUAAGCCCGAUUUUCCGCUGAGAGCACACCCGUCGAACCUGAUCCGGUCAAUACCGGCGGAGGGAUUUGAGCCCAGCGAACCG